rnacentral:rRNA from 1 species
UACGAAGGGGGCUAGCGUUGCUCGGAAUGACUGGGCGUAAAGGGCGCGUAGGCGGAUGGCACAGUCAGAUGUGAAAUUCCCGGGCUUAACCUGGGGGCUGCAUUUGAUACGUGUUGUCUAGAGUGAGGAAGAGGGUUGUGGAAUUCCCAGUGUAGAGGUGAAAUUCGUAGAUAUUGGGAAGAACACCAGUGGCGAAGGCGACACGCUGGGCCGUACCUGACACUGAUGCGCGACAGCAUGGGGAGCAAACAGG